UCUAAGUAUUUGAAAUUCCAAAUUUCCAUUAUUGUAAAUAUGAAGAAAUUAAUUUUCUGUUUGUUUUUAUUUACCUAUCGUUGACGAGUUUGUCUGUCUGGGGGUUACGUGGACGUCUUUUCAUUAUGUCAGAUUCUGCUUUUUCGUAAGCCAAUACCAUGUCUGUUCCAAGAUCGAUACAGAGAAUCGCAACGGUGCCAAGCGGCAACGGAAUUUCGGCUAAAAUAAAUACUAGAAAUGGAGAAAUUUCCGGAAUGUUGGAUGUCAGUGUGUAAGCGAUGGAUUUCUUCAAGUUAUCAAAAAUAAGCCGGCCUUCUUCGACACCAGUGACAAUAGAAGCGAAAUU